CAGUAGCCGCGGUAAUACGAAGGGUGCAAGCGUUAAUCGGAAUUACUGGGCGUAAAGCGUGCGUAGGCGGUGAGUUAAGUCUGCUGUGAAAUCCCCGGGCUCAACCUGGGAAUGGCAGUGGAUACUGGCUCGCUAGAGUGUGUCAGAGGAUGGUGGAAUUCCCGGUGUAGCGGUGAAAUGCGUAGAGAUCGGGAGGAACAUCAGUGGCGAAGGCGGCCAUCUGGGACAACACUGACGCUGAGGCACGAAAGCGUGGGGAGCAAACAGGAUUAGAUACCCCUGUAGUCCCUGUCUCUUAUAU
rnacentral:rRNA from 1 species